rnacentral:rRNA from 1 species
AAUAUAGAGGACAGACCAGACUGUGUAGCCAUUAAUUUUAUUUUUAUAUAUAUAUUAUUUGUAUGUUAUUGUUAUUUAUUAUUAGUUUUGUUGUAUUUAAUGAUUUUUAAGAUUUUUAUUUUUUUUUUUCAUUUUUAAAAUUAUUAAUAAUAAUAUUAACGACCUCAGAGUAGGUGAGAC